GGGGGAUUAGCUCAGCUGGGAGAGCGCCGCCCUUGCAAGGCGGAGGUCAUCGGUUCGAACCCGUUAUCCUCCACCA
rnacentral:tRNA from 1 species